rnacentral:rRNA from 1 species
UACAGAGGGGGCAAGCGUUGUUCGGAAUUACUGGGCGUAAAGGGCGCGUAGGCGGCCCGCUAAGUCGAACGUGAAAUCCCCGGGCUUAACCCGGGAACUGCGUCCGAUACUGGCAGGCUUGAAUCCGGGAGAGGGGUGUGGAAUUCCAGGUGUAGCGGUGAAAUGCGUAGAUAUCUGGAGGAACACCGGUGGCGAAGGCGGCAUCCUGGACCGGUAUUGACGCUGAGGCGCGAAAGCUAGGGGAGCAAACGGG